CCUGCCAUGAGACGCAUUGCAAAUGUGGCUAAUGUGACACACGUGUGUCAGUAGGUGGCAGAGAGGAGAAAGCCUAUGUUUAUAUUCAGUGCUGUGACAAAUGCACAUCUGAAUGAUUAGUGGGCUAACAUU